AGUGGCCUUUAAGAAGUUCUCUCUUGGGCCAUAUUCAUACUCUAUGCUUUAUUCAGUUUCAUAUUUUCUCUCUAGCAGGGUACUAUUAAGAGCUUGUAGGAAGACAUUGUUAUCCUUGCUGAUAUUAUCUUAGGACAGCCAAGGGCAUAUAUUAUCACACCCCUCUCUUUCCAAUAAUAAAUAACUUCAAAAAUAGCCUGGCUUAAGAUCUCUGUUAAGAAAAUUAAACUUUAAACUUUGAAUUUCAGGAAAGUUUAAUAUACCUGCACUAUAUUUGUAAUUCGUGAUGUUCCUAAGUUGAAUUUGUGAUUAUUCCACUGAGUCUAUAUUACAAUAAUUCCCUGGUUGAAUCUAUUAUGCUCAUGAGAUUUGGUGGCUUAUUAUUAAACCUGUUAGAGUUAAUUAUAUUUAUUGCACUGAUCUUCCCUGAAGGAAACUUGAGAAUUGUCUUUCUCAUCCUUAAUUAGGAAAUCAUAAAAUGCAAUUCUGAGGACAGGGGAAUUGUUUUCUUUGGCUCAAUAAGACUGACCUACCAAAAUCUCUCUUGAUAUCAGAAUUUUUAAAAGAUAAAAUGAAGCUGUAUCAAAUCUGUUCAGAAAGUAUGUAAGACCAGAGGACCAGAACUUCAAUAAAAAGCCAAGAAUAGCUGCCCAGUGGCCCCAGGAUGGGUAUGGAGGCAGCAUGGCAGUUAAGAGAUGCCCAGGACACAGAGAAAUCAUAUUCAGAGGAAUACAUCCUGAGCCAGCAGAAGAUGCACCAGAAAUCCAUCUGGAAGUUCAAGCAGAGUCUUUGCCACUUUCCAAGAUUGGCUGUCUCUCUGCGGACCCCUCAGUUAAUAACUGGUGAUGGUAGAAAACAAGCUAAAAUAAGCAAUAUGGUGAUGGAACAACUUGAAAGCAUAGGUAAAUAGUUUUCAUUGAAAUGGCAAGGGGAAUUAUGAACGGCUCUUAGAAGACAGAAAUGGCUCUGAGUUGAGAAUUUUAAAUGUACUCUUAAAGCCAUUUUAUCAGGAUAAAAAGAAAAUAUAAACAUUUCCAUUGUAAUAUCUGUUCUAAGCAUUAUUUAAGUCUACCAUAAUUUCUGAAAUUAAUAGAUCCCAUUAAAGUGAUGAUCUUUAGCAAGUGUAACAGAUAGAAAUCAAAUCACAUAAAAACGAAAAAGAAGAUCUAGUAGAAUGGAAAGAGCUCUGGGCUGCCAUUAGGGGCUGUGCAAUUUCCAGCUUCCUCGCUUGCAAAAUAGUGAUUUCUAAGGUCCAGUGCAGUUCCAAAAUUUCUUUGCUUAAGUGACAGGAUGAAUUCUAUUUCCACUGUGCUUUCAGCUACCUGAAGUGACAUAAGUGAUUAUCAUUUAAUAUUCAUGGUUGCAAGAGGGUCCGGAUACUAUUUGUUUCACAGUAGUAUGGUAAACUGAACAACAGCCACCAGCAGUGUCUGGAGAUAGUACUUGCCGAUGCUAAUCCUUGGAACCUGUAAAUGUUACCUCUUAAAAAAGGGGGCAGGUGGGUUGGCAGAUGCAAUAAAGGAUUUUGAGAUAGAGAGAUUUCCUGGAUU
ensembl:lncRNA